GGAGGCGUAGCUCAAAUGGCAGAGCGCUCGCUUAGCACGCGAGAGGUACGGGGUUCGAUACUUCGCGCCUCCA
rnacentral:tRNA from 1 species